rnacentral:rRNA from 1 species
GACGAACGCUGGCGGCGUGCUUAACACAUGCAAGUCGAACGGAAAGGCCUCGUUCGGGGGGUACUCGCGUGGCGAACGGGUGGGUAACACGUGAGUAACCUGCCCUUCUCUUUGGGUUAACUUCCGGAAACUGGGCCUAGUACCGACCAGGAGCUCCUGCUGCACGGAGGGGGUUGUAAAGUUUCGGCGGUUGGGGAUGGCCUCGCGGCGUAUCCGCUUGUUGGUGGAGUAUUGGCUUACCAAGGUUUUGCCGGGUAGACGGCCUGUGAGGGUGAUCGGCGACAUUGGGACUGAGAGGCGGCCCAGACACCUACGGGAGGCAGAUGGGGGGAAUAUUGCACAAUGAGCGGAGGCCUGAUGCUGCAAGGCCGCGGGUCGGAAGACUGUGUUAUGGUUGAAGACCGAAUGCGCACAUGACGAUGCUUUGUGUGACGGUAGUUGGUAAAGAAGCACCGGCUAACUACGUG